rnacentral:tRNA from 1 species
AGGACGUGGCUGAGAUAGACAAGCAUCUCCCUUACACCGAGAAGACAUCCAUGCAAAUUGGAUCAUCCUGA